GACGAACGCUGGCGGCGUGCCUAAUACAUGCAAGUAGAACGCUGAAGGAGGAGCUUGCUCUUCUGGAUGAGUUGCGAACGGGUGAGUAACGCGUAGGUAACCUGCCUGGUAGCGGGGGAUAACUAUUGGAAACGAUAGCUAAUACCGCAUAAGAGUAGAUGUUGCAUGACAUUUGCUUAAAAGGUGCAAUUGCAUCACUACCAGAUGGACCUGCGUUGUAUUAGCUAGUUGGUGGGGUAACGGCUCACCAAGGCGACGAUACAUAGCCGACCUGGGAGGGUGAUCGGCCACACUGGGACUGAGACACGGCCCAGACUCCUACGGGAGGCAGCAGUAGGGAAUCUUCGGCAAUGGACGGAAGUCUGACCGAGCAACGCCGCGUGAGUGAAGAAGGGUUUCGGAUCGUAAAGCUCUGUUGUAAGAGAAGAACGAGUGUGAGAGUGGAAAGUUCACACUGUGACGGUAGCUUACCAGAAAGGGACGGCUAACUACGUG
rnacentral:rRNA from 1 species